AACGCACAUUGCGCCUAAUAGUAUUCUGUUAGGCAUGCCUGUUCGAGCGUCAUUUCAACCCCCAAGCCCUAUUUGCUUGACGUUGGGAGAUUACGGAGACGUAACUCCUCAAAUAUAGUGGCGGAGCUAGGUCGUGCUCUAAGCGUAGUAACUUCUAUUAUCGCUUCUGUAGCCGGCCUUGGUCUCGCCGUAAAACCCCCUAUAUUUUACUGGUUGACCUCGGAUCAGGUAGGAAUACCAGCUGAACUUAA
rnacentral:misc_RNA from 1 species